UUCAAAAAAAAAUCGUGUUGAUUAAAAAAGUAAAUAAUCGAGUCAAAUCCGAACUUGACCGGUUCAGAGGGCUUCCGGUUUCGGUUUUCUACUACAAGAGACCGGUCCAAUAUAAUUAAUUAAUAUAUAUUUUUAUAUUAUAUAUAUUUAUAUAUAGUUAACAUGGGGCUGUUUUGUGUGGCUGUCUAAAAUAUUAUUGUACGCACACACACAGGAUCAUCACAACUAAAACACGACUUAGGUUUCUUUCUUCCUUCUUUGGUUUGAUUUCCUCUCUCUCUCUCUCUCUGAUCUGAGCGGCCGAACCUCUCUUUUCCUCUGCGUGAAACCUCUCUUUCAGCCAUCCUUGUUCUUCUUCAGCCGUCGCGCCGCCGAAGCUCUCUCAGUUGUCGCGCCGUCGUCACGCAAGCAGCAGUUCGUGCAGAUCAUCAUCCAUAUUUCUGGAGUAGGUUGCAGCUUCCAGCAGACGCACUCUUUUUUUUCUCCCCUUGACGCAGCCGCGCACUCCUUCUCGUCACUUUUCCAUUGAAGACUCUCUCUCUACCAAAGGUGAAUUUCUCACUCUUCUGUAAAUGCUUAAUCUUCAAUAUUGUUAUUUCCAAUCUCUAUUUGCAUUUUUAUUUACUUUUAUUGAGCGAUUUAUUCUCUGAAAAUUUCAAUCUCUGUUUGCAUUUUUGGCUGGAUUAUUUACUCAACCCAAAACUCAUACAUUCAGAUUACUGUAUGCCUGUUAUUAUGUUGUUUUUAGAUCUUAAAAAUAAGAUAAGAAAAGUGGAAUUAGGGAAUUAUAUCAAACUUUCAUGACUGUAUAAAUCAAGAUUUCUGCUCAUUAUUUGUUUAGGGAAUUAGAUCUGGUUGAUUGCAGCUUUCCUUAUGGCAUCAAUCAAAGUAGAGAUUUAUGAGGAAAAAAGAAGUUAUGACUUAUGUUCUGUUUGUGUUCAUGUACAUUGAAAAUUGUAAUUAGCUUGUAGUUGGCUUUUGUUUGGUGUUUUGGUUUGAUUUACUAGUGUGCAUUCAAAUUUAUUAAUUGAUUAAUUGACAGUGCAUAACAGAUUUUCCGUUCAGUUUUUCAGUUUUUCAGUUUUGCAUAUUUGCAGAUUUUAAGUUUUUCGUUUGCUUUAUUACUGCUGUCAUAGGCAACUAUUUUUAGAAAUUGGCUUGUAUAGGUUCUUUGUUUUUUCGUGCUGAAUCCAAUGAUGCAAAGAACGUCAAAAUUGGGCUAGUGGUUUGAAAGUUAAAGGCUAAAAACUGAACAGAGGUCAGAUGUGUCAAAACUGCAAUUUGAAACUCUUUAUUUUCUUGCUUUGCUUAAGUCUAGUUAAUUGGUUUCUGUUUUUCAGUUGCUUUCUAGUUAAGUGUUGAUAUUAUCAUUUAGUUGGAAAUGAAGCUUUGUAUCAUGAUAGUGUGCUAUAUGCUUUGUAUAAUGAUAAGUGUUGCUGUAUGCUGAGUUUGUGUUAAAUACAUGCUAUAUAUGCUGGUACAAAAAAGUUAGCAUGAUAGUAUAUAAAUUUGGGGUAUGUUAGUAUAUAAAUACAUUUUGGGUAGGUUGGGCCCAUGCCCAAACCGAAACCGCAUGAACCAAAUCGAAUCGGACAGGUCUGGGUUGGUUUGGAUUUCUGUACCGAUUUUAAGCAAAAUCGGUCCAAAUCGAACCGAUCUGUACUUUCGGAUUAGGUUCUAUUUUUUCCCCAAAACCGGUCCAAAUCGAACUGUGCCCACCCCUACUGAUACUUCACUCGAAUCUGUUUGGUAUUUAUUUGAUUUUUAGAUUUCCAUUGUAUUAAGAUGUCCAUUUUGGUUUGUUAAAUCCUAAGAAGCUCGGACACGGAUACGAUACGACACGACACAGGGAUACGACAAAUUUUCAAAAAUUAGGAUACGGUACGUUGUGGAUAUUGCAAUUUAAAAAAUAUAUAAAAAUUAAAAAAUAACAAUAUAUAUAAUUUAAAACAUAUUUUAAAUAACAUAAAAAUGAUAAUAUUAUUACUUUUAACAUACUUCCACUUGUCGUGGUUUUUUAACUUGUAAUAUUAUUACUUUUAAUAAGACAAACAAAACAAAAUCCUUUUGUCAAAACGAUAAGACCAGCCAUCACGUGGGGUGUGGGUGAAACUGUGAGUAUUAAACAAACAAAAUCCUUUGACCAAAAAAUAAAAAAUAAAAAAUCCUUUUGUCAAAAGAACAGAGAAGCACGCGUGAGAAAACAAAAUGAAAAUGGAGAAGAGAACCCGACGCCGGCGACAAUGAAGAAGAAGAAAUUGAUGAGUAGGGGCGCCGCUGGAUGAAGAAGAAAAAGGAAGAUCUGGGCUUCUUAAGGAUGAAGAAGAAGAAGUGAUGAGUGGGGGCACUGGUGGCUGAAGAAGAAGAAGGAAGAUCUGGGCUUCUUAUUUAUAUAGAAGAAGGAAGUUACAAAGAUAUUGAUACUUCAACCGAAUCUGUUUGAUAUGUAUUUGAUUUUUAGAUUUCCAUUGUAUUAAAUUCUUUUUGAACUGUUGUACAUGGCGUCCAUUUUGGUUUGUUAAAUCCUAUUUUGAUUAGUGACAAAGGAGUAUAUGCUAUAAACAAUAAGCUGCCUCUGCUUGAAGGUGUCUGUAGGACCAUACAAUAGAAAAGAUGUGUUUUCAAUCUCA